CACGGCCUCUCCAGCCACAGCCCGGGCUCUGCUCUCAGUGGAUAACAGUGCGUCAGAUCUGUCCUGGGGCUGCACACCCAGCACAUGAGAUCUUGGUUAAAAUCAGCCCUCCUGUUUCUAGCAAUCAGGGUCAAGGCAUAGGAAGAUGCCACUCAAUGUGAGAUUUACGUGCUCUGACACAUCAGGGCCUCUUUCCUUCUGGGGCAGGACAAAGUCCUGCUCACAAAACAGAAGUGUCUUGAAACCAGCAUGGCCAAUUCCUUUUCCUGCCAGCCCAGUCCAACUCCUGCAGUCCUCUGCUCAGGCAUUAUUCUUCUCCAAAUACAGAAAAGAUUUAUAUUCUUGUCCCAUGGCAAUAUUUGCUUAGCAGAUAAUUAAGCACUGCUUGGUAAACGGUAUUUGGGGAGGGAGUUGUGGAGGCAGGGUAUAGGAAACAUGAUGAUUUUGUUGAGUGCUGCUGUGGGGGCACAAAGGUAUUACAGUGAUCCCUAACAGGGAAUGAAAUAGUAGAUCUCUCUGGAUGUGUGUAAAGGAGAAAGGGCUGGUGUCUGCGGAGUAUUAAGCAUGAACAGCAGCUGGUUUGUAUCACAGACCUCCUGGCAGUUAAAUACGUUACCGCAGCAAGUGGAUCUCUUGGUUUUACAAAGCAUGGACUCCUUGAGUUGUCAUUGCUACUAUGAGAAGAUCAAUUUUCAUGAAUGGAGUACCAGGAUAAGCGCUAUGGGUCUUCAGGGCCGUAUGAGUGCUCCUUCACUGGAUUUAUGCUGCAAUUCUUAGGGCACUUCAGGGAUUAAUAGUCAAAUCAGUGUUGGCGGUGCUGGUGUUGUAAAUCCAAUGAUCCAGGCUAAACUGGUGCCUGGGGAAACCAGCCUCUUCCAACAGCUCUACAUCUUCAUUUCCCAAUUUAUCUUCAGAUAUAACGUCUGAGGGAGCGAGCUCAGCGCGUUAGUGUGUGUCCUGGCAAGAAGGCUCUGCGUCAGGAGUCGAGGCUCACAUCAAAUAAACAUGAAAAAGAAUAGGUGAAGAAACCGAGAAACUGCAGAAUUGGCAAAGACAGUUUGUAGAUAAGAAAAAGAAGGCUCAGAGAAAUGAGGAAAGAUGGGAGCCUGGUGUGCUUGCUGACUGCUCUGUGCUGAGCCCACCUUCUGUCUCUGCCUAGUGCUGGGGAACUGCGAGGUGACCACACCCUCAAAUUCCUCCAGGAUUGAAGCACUAAUAGCUGCUCCUGCAUGAACAAAACCCAAACCUGGUCCCCGUGUGCCCACAGCAAAGCUCCCAGUUGCCCAGCAGCCCCCACUGCAGCACAGGAUCUGCAGAACUGCACAGAAACAUCACAGAAGCCCAGAAAGAGCAGAAAAUAAAGCACCCUCCAUCUUUACUCUGCUCGUGAAGCUGCUCAUUCACCCAUCUUCCCUUCAGUGGGUCUGGCCCUCUUGCCACGCACAGCGAGGCUUUCAGCACUGCAGGCUCUUUUCUUCGGGAACUUUGCCAGAAAAGGAGCACACAACAAACUGGGUUUGGAAGCUCUCCCGUGGAAGCCAAGGACUGCGUUCUUCAGUGUCUCAUGCUCUGAUGCACCUCCAGGCUGGCAACAACCACCUCCUCCUUGUUCUUCCCAAGAGCAGUUCAGCUUUUUGUGGGAGGAUUAUGGAUUGCUCCCCAAUCCUGCAGCUGGCAGUAAUGGGAUGAACAUAACUGAUUUUAUUCCCUUUGGAUCCCCAUGGUGAGUUUGUCCCAGUGCAAGAGGCUUUUAUUAGCACAGUGUAGUACACCUAUCAAACACAGAUCUGCUUGGUCUCCAACCCAGGGAGUGCAAGUGGCACAAAUCCCUGGCUGUCACUGGCAGCCCUAGAAAAAAGAAAUUCUGAGCACCUGGGAAAAUGUCAAUCCCUUCCUGCCCUCCUUCUAGGACAGGACUCAGGUUUGAGGUGAGGCAGUGGCGUGUCCUGUGUUUGCUCUGCAGCUCCUGCAGGCACAGUCCUGCUGCCACUGGAGCUGGCACUCUGCCUUUGCCACAAGGAAACUCCUCUCUAAAAUGCCACACAAGUGACAGGAUAAGAGUCAUAGUCAGGCAUAGGAAAUUUCAAGGCAGUUCACUAAAUUCAGCUAACGAAGGUCAUGUUUCUUUACCAAGUCAUCUUAUUGGCUCACUUGAAAAACAAGCAUUUUGCAACAGAAAAAUAACUAUUUACUGUAAAAAAAAAAAAAUUCUUUAGAGGAAGCUCACCUGGGUAAGAAAAGUGACAAAAUUAUGCAUUUUAUUAAAUCUGAAUAUAUUUUAAACAAAUCUUGGAACUAGGUUACGCAACAUUCCAGGAUGAUUUAUUUUGAUUUUCCACUGCUUGAUUCUCCUUUUUUUCAGAAAGGCCAGGGGCAAACCAAAGCAAUUUACAUUGAAUGCCACACACUGCCCCACUGUCCAUCUACCACAUCUUGCCCUGACUGCCCAGAGAUAACUGGUGGCACCAAGAGAAGGCAGCUGCAGCCUGGGACUGGCUGCCUGCACCUUCUGCUGUGGGCUUUGGCACCAGCUGAGGGUGUCUGAAAAAUAACUGAUUUCAAUUUCAUUUUAUUUGUACUGCAUCUUUCCUCAAGUCUCUGUGCUGUGACAAGGUAGGGAAGGCAUGCAGCCAUCAAGCCUUCUCAGGGACAUUCAGGACACAGGGAAAGGCACACACAUCUGUAAAAACUUUAUUUCAAAAUCUUUUUAUUCAACUGUUAUUCAGCAAUAUACAAUACAGUUUAUAAACAAA